rnacentral:rRNA from 1 species
UACAGAGGGUGCAAGCGUUCCUCGGAAUUACUGGGCGUAAAGCGCGCGUAGGUGGUUUGGUAAGUCGGAUGUGAAAUCCCCGGGCUCAACCUGGGAACUGCAUUCGAAACUGCCUGGCUAGAGUUUGAGAGAGGGAAGUGGAAUUCCACAUGUAGCGGUGAAAUGCGUAGAUAUGGGGAGGAACAGCAGGGGCGAAGGAGGAGGAAGGGCGGAAAACUGCCACUGUGGCGCGAAAGCGUGGGUAGCAAACAGG